UACGGGGGGGGGCAAGCGUUGUUCGGAAUUACUGGGCGUAAAGGGCUCGUAGGCGGCCAACUAAGUCAGACGUGAAAUCCCUCAGCUUAACUGGGGAACUGCGUCUGAUACUGGAUGGCUUGGAUUUGGGAGAGGGAUGCGGAAUUCCAGGUGUAGCGGUGAAAUGCGUAGAUAUCUGGAGGAACACCGGUGGCGAAGGCGGCAUCCUGGACCGGCAUUGACGCUGAGGCGCGAAAGCCAGGGGAGCAAACGGG
rnacentral:rRNA from 1 species